rnacentral:rRNA from 1 species
UGAAAGUUCUUCGGGGCGAGUAAAGUGGCGCCCCGGUGAGUAACGCGUGGAUAAUCUACCCUUAAGAUGGGGAUAACGGCUGGAAACCGUCGCUAAUACCGAAUACGCUCCCGAUUUUAUCGCUGGGGGGAAAGAUGGCCUUUGCUUGCAAGCUAUCGCUUAAGGAUGAGUCCGCGUCCCCUUAGCUAGUUGGCGGGGUAACGGCCCACCAAGGCAACGAUGGGUAGCCGGUUUGAGAGGAUGACCGGCCCCCCUGGAACUGGAACACGGUCCCGACUCCUUCGGGAGGCAGCAGUGGGGAAUAUUGCGCAAUGGGCGAAAGCCUGACGCAGCGACGCCGCGUGAGGGAUGAAGGUUCUCGGAUUGUAAACCUCUGUCAGGGGGGAAGAAACCCCCUCGUGUGAAUAAUGCGAGGGCUUGACCGUUUGGCGGAAGGAAGCACCGGCUAACUCCGUG